CACGUAGGAGGCGAGCGUUGUCCGGAAUCAUUGGGCGUAAAGGGUGCGUAGGCGGCGCGGUAAGUCGGGUGUGAAAUCUCGGAGCUUAACUCCGAAACUGCAUUCGAUACUGCCGUGCUUGAGGACUGGAGAGGAGACUGGAAUUUACGGUGUAGCGGUGAAAUGCGUAGAUAUCGUAAGGAAGACCAGUGGCGAAGGCGGGUCUCUGGACAGUUCCUGACGCUGAGGCACGAAGGCCAGGGGAGCAAACGGG
rnacentral:rRNA from 1 species